rnacentral:rRNA from 1 species
GACGAACGCUGGCGGCGUGCUUAACACAUGCAAGUCGAGCGGUAAGGCCCUUUCGGGGGUACACGAGCGGCGAACGGGUGAGUAACACGUGGGUGACCUGCCCUCAGCUCUGGGAUAAGCCCGGGAAACUGGGUCUAAUACUGGAUAUUACUCUGCGGUGCAUGCCGUGGGGUGGAAAGCCUUGUGCGGCUGGGGAUGGGCCCGCGGCCUAUCAGCUUGUUGGUGGGGUGAUGGCCUACCAAGGCGACGACGGGUAGCCGGCCUGAGAGGGCGACCGGCCACACUGGGACUGAGACACGGCCCAGACUCCUACGGGAGGCAGCAGUGGGGAAUCUUGCGCAAUGGGCGAAAGCCUGACGCAGCGACGCCGCGUGAGGGAUGACGGCCUGGU